rnacentral:rRNA from 5 species
GACCCCAGGUCAGGCGGGACUACCCGCUGAGUU